CCUACGGGAGGCUGCAGUGGGGGAUAUUGCACAAUGGGGGGAACCCUGAUGCAGCGACGCCGCGUGGGUGAAGAAGCGCCUCGGCGCGUAAAGCCCUGUCAGCAGGGAAGAAAAUGACGGUACAUGAAGAAGAAGCACCGGCUAACUACGUGCCAGCAGCCGCGGUAAGAAGUAGGGGGCAAGCGUUACCCGGAUUUACGGGGUGUAAAGGGGGCGCAGACGGCGAUGCAAGCCAGGAGUGAAAGCCCGGGGCCCAACCCCGGGACUGCUCUUGGAACUGCGUGGCUAGAGUUCAGGAGGGGCAGGCGGAAUUCCUGGUGUAGCGGUGAAAUGCGUAGAUAUCAGGAGGAACACCGGUGGCGAAGGCGGCCUGCUGGACUGCAACUGACGUUGAGGCACGAAAGCGUGGGGAGCAAACAGGAUUAGAUACCCUUGUAGUC
rnacentral:rRNA from 1 species